GGAUGAUAGCUGGUUAUUCCAGAGGAAAGUCCAUGCUCGCACAGGCUGUGAUGCCUGUAGUGAUUGCGCUAGCGGAACAAAUAACGCUAGGGAUGCGGGAGCGCAUUACGGCGGAAGAAGACCUAAGGCUUAGGCUAUGGUGGCCUUCCUGAAAGUGCCACAGUGACGGAGUUUAACAGAAAUGUUAAAGUGGAACGCGGUAAACCCCACAAGCGAGAAACCCAAAUUUGGUAGGGGAGGCUUAUACGGAGAAACGAAUCCUAAAAAGCAGGCAUUGCCUAGAUAAAUUAUCAUCUUAAACAAAACAUGGCUUACAA
rnacentral:RNase_P_RNA from 1 species